rnacentral:rRNA from 1 species
UACGUAGGGUGCAAGCGUUGUCCGGAAUUAUUGGGCGUAAAGAGCUCGUAGGCGGUGUGUCGCGUCGGCCGUGAAAACCUGCAGCUUAACUGUGGGCUUGCGGUCGAUACGGGCAUCACUGGAGUUCGGCAGGGGAGACUGGAAUUCCUGGUGUAGCGGUGAAAUGCGCAGAUAUCGGGAGGAACACCAGUGGCGAAGGCGGCGACCUGGACAGAUAUUGACGCUGAGGUGCGAAGCGUGGGGAGCAAACAGG